rnacentral:rRNA from 1 species
CAGUCGCCGCGGUAAUACGUAGGGUGCAAGCGUUAAUCGGAAUUACUGGGCGUAAAGCGUGCGCAGGCGGUUUGUUAAGACAGAUGUGAAAUCCCCGGGCUCAACCUGGGAACUGCAUUUGUGACUGGCAAGCUAGAGUAUGGCAGAGGGGGGUGGAAUUCCGCGUGUAGCAGUGAAACGCGUAGAUAUGCGGAGGAACACCGAUGGCGAAGGCAGCCCCCUGGGCCAAUACUGACGCUCAUGCACGAAAGCGUGGGGAGCAAACAGGAUUAGAUACCCGAGUAGUCCCUGUCUCUUAUAC